rnacentral:rRNA from 1 species
CGGACAGAGCCGGCGUAUCUGGCCCGCAUUCAGCUGUGCGCUCGUCAGCUUCGGCCGACCGCCUCCAGAUUGGGGCGGCCAGCCGUUUGCUGGCGUGCUUGCAGUGCAUUUGCGGGUGGAGUGCGCCGAGACGCUCGGGGCAGCGGCACAAGCUCGGUUCAGAGGCCAACUUGUUUGGAACCCGUGCCGUGGGGAGUGCUGUUUGCUCUGGGUGAGCAGUUGGGGCGGUGGUUUCGGGCCCGGGUGGGUGCCGAGCCGGUGGUCGGUGGCGGUCGCAUGCGACACGUACCGGCGCCCGGUUCGGUCCUGCUCGAGCUCUCAACCGUGCGUUCUCGGUGUAAAAGCCGGUCAUCUGUCCGACCCGUCUUGAAACACGGACCAAGGAGUUUAGCGUGUGCGCGAGUCAUUGGGCGUUGAAAACCCAGCGGCGCAAUGAAAGUGAAGGUCUCCCUCGUUGGAGCUGACGUGUGAUCCUGGCCACCGCGGUGUGCCGGGCGCAACAUGGUCCCGUUCUGGCCGCAUGCGGCGGGGCGGAGACAGA